CCGCCUCGCCCCCACGCCGCCGUCUUUCCUCCCCGCGCGCAGGGCGCCCUCAGCACCCACAACCUCUCCUACUGGCGGGCCCGGCCCUACGUGGGCGUGGGGCCAGGGGCCCACGGGCGGUUCGUGCCACGGGCCGAGGGCCACACGCAGCGGGAGGCCAGGACGCAGACACCGGAGCCGGACGCCUGGAUGCGGGAGGUGCGGGCGGCGGGGCACGGCACCCGGCGGCGGGCGCCGCUGAGCCCGCUCCAGCUCCUGGAGGAGGUGCUCGUCCUGGGGCUGCGCACCGACGUGGGCAUCACGCACCAGCACUGGCAGGAGUUCUCCCCGCACCUGAGCCUCUGGGAUGUGUUCGGGGCGCCGGGGGAGGCAAGGGAGCUGGCGGAGCAGGGCUGGCUCAUCCUGGACGGCAGCGGCCUGCGGUGCUCCUGGGAAGGGCUGGCCGUGCUGGACUCGCUGCUGCCGGCCCUGCUGUGCCAGCUGCAGCGGCGCUGGGCCUGCAACGCCACCCCGGCACCACCGUCCUAGUGGUGACGGCGGGACCCGGCCCCCGAGGAGGCGAUGGAGGCGCCAGCUCUCGAGGUCGAUCCCCGGGGCCGGCCAGGCGCGGGUGCACGAGCAGCGUUUGCAGGCCUGCAGAGAAGAAAAAGCGAAUAAACUGUUUUAGCAUUGCAGCGGAUGUCGG
rnacentral:lncRNA from 1 species